AUUGAACGCUGGCGGCAGGCCUAACACAUGCAAGUCGAGCGGAUGAAGGGAGCUUGCUCCUGGAUUCAGCGGCGGACGGGUGAGUAAUGCCUAGGAAUCUGCCUGGUAGUGGGGGAUAACGUCCGGAAACGGGCGCUAAUACCGCAUACGUCCUGAGGGAGAAAGUGGGGGAUCUUCGGCCCUCACGCUAUCAGAGGAGCCUAGGUCGGAUUAGCUAGUUGGUGGGGUAAAGGCCUACCAAGGCGACGAUCCGUAACUGGUCUGAGAGGAUGAUCAGUCACACUGGAACUGAGACACGGUCCAGACUCCUACGGGAGGCAGCAGUGGGGAAUAUUGGACAAUGGGCGAAAGCCUGAUCCAGCCAUGCCGCGUGUGUGAAGAAGGUCUUCGGAUUGUAAAGCACUUUAAGUUGGGAGGAAGGGCAGUAAGUUAAUACCUUGCUGUUUUGACGUUACCAACAGAAUAAGCACCGGCUAACUUCGUG
rnacentral:rRNA from 1 species